rnacentral:rRNA from 1 species
UACGUAGGUGGCAAGCGUUAUCCGGAAUUACUGGGCGUAAAGCGCACGCAGGCGGUCUUUUAAGUUUGACGUGAAAGCUCCCGGCUUAACUGGGAGAGGUCGUUGAAGACUGGGAGACUUGAGGCAAUGAGAGGGGUGUAGAAUUCCCGGUGUAGUGGUGGAAUGCGUAGAUAUCGGGGGGGAAUACCAGUGGCGAAAGCGGCACCCUAGCGUUAGCCUGACGCUCAUGUGCGAAAGCGUGGGGAGCGAGUCCGG